GACGAACGCUGGCGGCGUGCCUAAUACAUGCAAGUAGAACGCAGUUGCGAACGGGUGAGUAACGCGUAGGUAACUGCCUCAUAGAGGGGGAUAACUAUGGGAAACGAUAGCUAAUACCGCAUACUGUGAGAUGGACCUGCGUUGUAUUAGCUAGUUGGGGAGGUAAAGGCUCACCAAGGCGACCAGACAUAGCCGACCUGGGAGGGGGAUCGGGCCAACUGGGACUGGGACACGGGCCAGGCUCCUACGGGAGGGAGGAAGAGGGGAUCUUCGGCAAAGGGGGGAAGGCUGAACGGGCAACGGCGCGUGAGUGAAGAAGGGUUUCGGGUCGGAAAGCUCUGUUGUUAGAGAAGCGGUACCUAACCAGAAAGGGACGGCUAACUACGUGCCAGCAGCCGCGGUAAUUC
rnacentral:rRNA from 1 species